rnacentral:rRNA from 1 species
AGUGAACGCUGGCGGCGUGCUUAACACAUGCAAGUAGAACGAGAACGGGAUAUAGCUUGCUAUAUUUAUCAGCUAAGUGGCGCACGGGUGAGUACUGUAUAGGUAAUAUGCCUCUUACUAAGGGAUAACAAUAGGAAACGAUUGCUAAUACCUUAUAUGCCUUUAAGAGUAAAGUCUGCAAGGGAAAGAUUUAUUGGUAAGAGAUUAGCCUGUAUUGUAUCAGCUAGUUGGUGAGGUAAUGGCUGACCAAGGCUAUGACGCAUAACUGGUUUGAGAGGAUGAUCAGUCACACUGGAACUGAGACACGGUCCAGACUCCUACGGGAGGCAGCAGUGAGGAAUAUUGCACAAUGGACGAAAGUCUGAUGCAGCAACGCCGCGUGGAGGAUGACACAUUUCGGUGCGUAAACUCCUUUUAUAUAGGAAGAUAAUGACGGUACUAUAUGAAUAAGCACCGGCUAACUCCGUGCCAGCCGCCGCGGUAA